GAAUAAUGAUAUCAAAUGGCUAAAUGGCUGUUCUUAGCUCUGUGCCCUGACCAACAGUUCAGCUUUGACGCCUACCUCCAACCUUGUUGUUCAUUAAUGCAUGAAGCUGCUCUCCUUCCAGCCCUUAUGGCCGCCACCCUUCCUGACACUGACACUGCAUUAAAGGGAGAAGAGAGCAAUGCUUUGGAAAUAAUGAGGCUUCCCCUACCUCAGCUCCGAGCAUGACACUCCUAAGGGAAACAGAGUGGUGGUUUGGCAGCAGCAGGGGGUUUCCUUGGAAAACAACAAGCAUCAAAACGGAUCUCAAAGAUCUGAAAGUACUGUUGUUCUGUAGUAGAAGUCCUCUCUGCAUUUAAAUUGAACUGUCACAGAAAGGUUGUGAUUUCUAUGUCUUUUCCUUUUUUAAAAGUGGCCUUCCUACA